UAAGUCUAACUUUGCACUAAGCACUAAGUAUAGAAAGUAUACCAAAUAAUUAAAAUUAUAUUUUGUUUAUAUAUCAGUCCGACGUGUAGGUCUUACUUCCCGGCUUCUUUAACGCGUUUGUAUUUUAAUUUCAUAAGUAUUCUUAACGUACUGUUCAUCACAUGACCAAUCAGUGCACAUGUGUAACUGUAAAAUAAUUGCCAUCAAUUCAUCGUAGUUGUAAAUUCAGCGUACGGGUGAACGAUGUUAACCGGACCCCGUUAAUUGAUCGGCAUCUAAUCAUAUUUGUGAUUUCUGUGUGUUCAUGCAGAACCUGCUCUGUGAUGAACAUAAUAUUUUCACACCUCUAUAUUUUGAAUAAGAAUAUGACCGUGCUUAGAAUCGCGGUGAAAAUUGGACAAGUCAAGACUAACUUGUCAGUAAACUAUAUAUGGCUAUAUCAUAUUUAGUUUGGCAAAAUCAUCAGUACAUGUAAAUAAAAUAUAGUUAAAGACAAAAUCUGAUACAUAUGUCUCAUUAAAACUUGUUUAAUUUCAUUAGACAUUUGUAAACAAACGGUCGGCCAUUUUUUUUUGGUUAAUCACGUGUUUCAAAUACAAUUGUAACAAACACACGCCAAUACUUUGUCGUAUUAAACCAGGAAAUACUGACUCCGACAGUUCUUAUUUGAAAUAAAUAUACAUGUAAAAAGUAUACUAUUCGGUAAAAAAUUAUAAUUUUGAUUAAACAUUAUUCAUUUUAAACUAUCCCAAGAUGCACUUUUUCAAGAUUUAGCGGGUUCUGAUUGGUUAGUAUUGGCGCACUUUAUGAUUCCAAGCGACGGUUAAAAUGGACAAGAAGGUGCUGUUGUAAAAUGGAGAAUUGAGAAGCACUUAUAGCCUCUACAACAAGGAGAUAAUGCAGGAACGAAGAACUCAUGUCAAGCAUUGACAGCAUACAAAGUCAAUGUUUCCGGUGAUUAGUUGCAUCCUCUGUUCGGUGAUUCGGGUGAAUGUUUUGACCAGCUGGACGAUGUGAACGCAAGAUAAAUAGAACAGACAUAAAGUACAGCCCAGUGAAAGGAACAAGUUCAUCGCAAGAAGAAGAAUUUUAAUGCUACCACUGUCCAGAACUACUAAGUCUGCUGUAGCCAUGAUGUGAUCAUAUGAGUGCUUCACCGGUCUGGACAAUGCUCGAAAGUCUCCCAAAAAGGCCUAUUUCCAUAAACCACGACUCGGGUUACAUCAACAACAGCCAAGGACACUCCUUAUUGAUUCGAAUGGACACAUCUCUACGACCCGACUAAACCUCUGCAGAACAAGACUUUUUAACUGUAAAGUAUUCUCAUUUCAAGCACUUGAUUGAUUAGAUCUUGCAGAUAUUAACUUUCAUUUUCUUAAAUAAUUUGUUAUAUUUGCAAAUAUUGCAUAAAAUAUUAGACUCCAUGUAACAUAUAUCCUCACACCUCCAAGUUGAUAAGUGUUAACUACUUUUUUUUCCAUUUUCUAUGUUUAAACAUUUAUUGAUAACUUAGUUUUUAUUUGCAGCAAUAUACGAAAAAUUAAGAAACCAAUCUUAAAUGUAAAAACACUGCAUUAGGAGAUGAAUGCAUGGGUCAUAGAAAUGAUAAAAUACACCAAACAAUAUUCAAUUAUGUCGUAUAUGAAAAUAUAUAAAGACAACAUAUACCCCAUGUAUUACAAUUUUUAAAUAACAAAAUUACUUGGAUGGAAAGUUGUUUCCAUGUCAUUGUGGGUUUUAUUUUAAUCUGUGUUAUGUAACUAAUAUUGGAAUUAGCUUUUAUAUCAUAAGUAAAAUGCUGGUAUUGAUGAGAAUUGUAAGGUGAAUGAUCUGUGUGAUAUUUUGUUUUUUAUACAUUCAUGCUACAAAAAGCAAGUACAUGUACAUGUAGUAAUACUUGUCAUAUAUAAACAAUGUAUAUUUUACUUCAUGUCUUGGAUUUAAAAAUAUUAAUUUAGGUAAAGUAGUGAAAUGUAGGAAGGUAAACCGUGUGUAAAGAAGAAUAUUCAUCAGGAAUGAAGUGUGUUGCAAUCAGCAUAAUUAAUUAAAUGUGUACAUCAUAUUUUUGCACAUGAUUUGACAGACUGCUCCAUUGUUAGCUUUUUAUUGGCCAACAAGCUUUUCAUAUCUCCCUCUGGGUCAUCUAUUAAAUACUGACAGGCUUAUGAUAUUAAAAUCUGAUCAGUUGGUACAUCAUGGGUGGAAAUGAAAAGUUCACUUUGGACUUAAUGGAUUAUAAAAAAAAUGAUAUCAAAUCCUGUUCUAUUGUAAAACAUUAGAUUAUAUUACUAACAAAGAAAAGGUUUAUCCCAACUUGUAAGUGGGUCACUUUGACCUCAUUUUGGAAUUUAUUGACAUACAUAUUCAAAUCAAAUCUUGGUCAUACCUCUAUAGUCAACUACUAUCUUGUAGUGUAUUUUUUUUUUUAAGAUGAAUACUUAAGACUUUCAAAAAUAUUUUAUGGUGUACAUAUUCAUUGUAGUUCAAAACAAAUUGAGACAAGUGUAUCAUGUUCAUGUAACAGUGAAGUUUUCUUUGUUUAUUCAUGUACGUGCAGUUAUUUUGUAAAUUGCAUUCAUAUUUUUAAUAAAGUAAGAUCUUUGUUGCAUUUUUAAAGGGAGAUUUGAUAGGCAUUUAAUCGAGAAUACAAAUGUAAAGAUUUCUAUGGGAGUUUUUUUUCUUGUGCAAUUUUAUCAUUUUUUAAAUAAAAGUCCCUAAUAAGGGAAUUGCCAUAUGGAUGUUUCUCCAUUAUUGUAUCUUGGCUGUAUUUUAUUUAUUAUUGGAAACAAUUUCAGAUUUUUGAACAAAAUAAAUUUGGAACUGUUUGAAAUUGUUUUGUUUUUACAUAAAGUAGAAACCUUGCUCAGCUUUUGUGAAAGCAAAAAUAUAAAAAGUUUCAGAAAGUUUCAGUUGCGGAAACCCUUAGUAAACAAUAUGUAUCCCAAUUGUAUAUGGAGGUUGAAACUAUGCAGAAACUUCAAGUUUCAGUAAGUUUCCGUCGCGGAAACCAUUUGUAAACAAUAUGUAUCCCAAACGUAUAUGGAGAUUGAAACUAUGCAGAAACUUCAAGUUUCAGUUAGUUUCCGUUGCGGAAACCAUUCGGAUUCAUGGACAGCCUAAGUUUCAGCACUGCGGAAACUUAAUGAAACUUGAAGUUUCCGUGCUGAAACCUGUCGGAAACUUAAAGUAACCUUAAGUUUCCGCAGAGUUUCCAAAGGGUUUCCGCAGCGCUGAAACCAG